CUGGACAAUUUGAAAUACCCAUUUUACCCUUUUAGUUUUAAAUCUAAUAUAUGCCCUAAUCUCUCUCUUUACCCACACGUUUCAAUCACCGCCGUUUCUCCCUCUGUCUUCAUCUCCCCCUCUUUCUUACUCUCUCGCCAGAUCUGGCUCAUCUCCCCCUCUUUCUUCCUCUUUCUUACUCUCUCUCGCCAGAUCUGGCUCCGACAAUGAAGAGAAAGAAAAAGCGCAAGCCAAAUUCUCCACCAUCCGCUACGCAGCCGCACCGCCGUCGAAAAGGUCUUGGUGUUUGUUUGAAUUACAGUAAGUUUUUGCGGAGUGGACUUUGUGUUCGUCGUUCAAAAUAAGUUGUACUCGUGUUGAAAAGUGGAAUUUCAGUCAAAUUUAGUCGUAUAGAUAACGAUAUAUAACUAUAGAUGACUAUAGUCAUGUAUAGUUCCAUAUGGUAAUUUAUACUUAUAUACAAGUUAUACGGUUUUUCUUUUCUGAUGUAUAGUGAUCUUGAUGAUUGUGUUUUUUUUGUUGGGUACU